GAAUGGAACGCGGGCUCGCCGUUAAUGGAAGAGGGACGCUGACCGGAGUGCAGAAAGUUGACAGAGCCAGCUUCUUGAAACAGAGACAACUCUCUCUCUCUAAAGUCUCUUUAGCUCUAAUCUCUGGUUCUCAAUUCUCGUCUGCUCUUUCUCUGGUUUUUGCGAGCUGCUCUUUGCAGAAUGGGUGGCCAAAAUGCUGGUAUCUGCCCUAUAUGCAUGGAGGAAAUGGACCUAACUGAUCAAGAACUGCAGCCUUGCGUUUGUGGAUAUGAGAUAUGCUUGUGGUGUUGGCAUUUCAUAAUUCAAACAGCUGCAAAGGAUUGUAUUGAUGCACGGUGCCCCGCAUGCGAUAAACCCUAUGACAAAGAGAAGAUUUUGAAGAGGACAAUCAACAAAGAAAGACUAGAGAUCUUAAAUGCUAACAAGAAGCAUAAGCUGCAAAAGACUAAGCAAAGACUGACAGAUAUAGGGAGUGAUCUCAAUAGCAUUCGUGUGAUAAGGAGAAACAUUGUUUAUAUUGCCGGGUUUCCUAAAAAAAUAUCUAAUGAGAAGACUCUUAGGAAGAAGGAAUAUCUGGGACAAUAUGGAAAAAUUGUUAAGAUUUUUAUUGCGCAAACGGACAUAUCCCGUCAGAAUUAUUCAUCGGAUUCCUGCAUAGUAUAUGUUACUUUUUCAACGGAGGAGGAAGCUCUUCGCUGUAUUCAAGUUGUUAACGGCUACAUUUUAGAUGGUUGGCCUUUGAAGGCGAGCUUUGGCACUACAAGGUAUUGCUAUUCAUGGUUGAAUAAUCUACCUUGUAAGAAUCCAGAUUGUUUAUACGUACAUGGUGCUGUUCCACAAGAAGAUAUUUGCUUAAGAGAAGAGGUGAUUUCAUUUUGUACAAGUAAACUUCAGCAAUGUCCAAAACUUGCGUUUUCUAAUCUCAAACAACAUUCGGGAAGUUUCUUACCUCCGCCGCUAGAUACAAAGAGUUCACCACCUUCAUUGGGUCAUAUAAACUACAAUAGGUACAUGCAAAGUGAUUAUUUUGGGAGGUCAUAUGCUACAGUUGCAUCGUCGAACGAUAAAUCGAAUCUUCUCAGCACGAAUGACAACCAGGUUAUGCCUUCCAGUAGGGCGAAAAUUUAUUUUGAAUCAAGUUCAGGGGAUCAUAACCGUGUCAACAAUACAUUUCCUACAUCAGGAAAUGAAAUUCCGCUUCAUAAAAGCGACAAAGAAAAAUUUUCUCAUGCAAAAUCAUUUGUUGGGAUUUGCAAUUCAAAAAAAGCUUAUUCGCCUUAUUAUAAAACUGCUACUGAAAACCAAGAACAAUCUUCAGAAUAUGAUGAUUUGGAUGCUGUCUCUAGAAAAUGUGAUCCAUUUAUAAGUUUACGUACUUUACCGGGCGACUCAACAUCAACGCAGCAGAACUCUCUUCCGUCAUAUGAUUGGUCUUGGUGGCAUUCAGAUUUAGGAUCUGUAGACUUCAGCUGUAGCUUUGAAGAUGAAAGUGUUUUCUCUCACUUUAGUAGACAAUCAAAUGAUUUGUCCACUUUUUCAACAAUCACCUCAAACUUGCUCAGCAGCUCUUCAAGCAAUUGUUGCACAGAGUUUGACUUUUCCUGUACUGAUAAGACUAAUUUAAGAUCUGCAAAAUUCAGCUGUAACUUUGAGAAUGAAAGCUUUUCCUCUCCCUUCAGCAAAAAAUCAAAGGAUUUCUCUACUUUUUCCACAAUUGCCGCAAACCGGUACCAUGAAGAACUCCAUAAGCCUUCCACAAUUUUGUCCUUAGAACCUAUGAUGUUUCAUGGUGAACAGGAAAAUGUGUACGGCAGAUCUUCUAGUAUUAGUGGUCUGGAUAUUGAGUUUACUCCUACCGAUAAGUCUAGAGACGAGAAGUUAUUGAUUGAAUCCUAUAAUGAGCAAUUUGAAGAUAGGAUUAUAUCGGAAAUUUUUUCUUUGGAUCUUGAUGCAAAUGAUGAUACAGGUGAUACACAUUCUGUUUUAGAUCAGCUUGGUAGCUCGGAUGAUUCAAAAUCUCAUUUUACAACGAUGAAUGAUAUGUAUGGGGAUAUAGGGCAUUUGUCUCAAAGGUCUAAUGGUGCUUCUGGUUUGUCUAAUAAGUCAUCCUGCUUUGAAAUCAUAGUAAAGAAAGAUGCCUGCAUGGAGGAUUCGUUAAAUAUAUUUUAUCACGAAACAUCAAAGAGUUCAAAGGUUCUCAACAGUACUAGUCGUCUUUCUGCUACGGAUGUUGUCAAAGGUUCUGGAAAUUCAUCGGAUUUGCGUCAAUCAGAUGCUUGUAAAAGUUUUCAAGGGAGGUAGUGUAAAUCGGAAGAAGAAAUGAAGAGUCAAACAAAAGAGAAAGGAAGCGAGGAGUCGGAAAAUUGAAGAGGAGAAAUUGAAAUAUGGGGUCGGGAAUGCAAGGGAUGAAUUCACUCUAUAAAUUGUCGUAAUGGACUUACCUGUAGCGUCGAGCGACUCUAAUGAGAAGGAGAGGGGGAUCAAGCUACUAGCACAGUGGAGAGUGGUGGUAUUGGUGACGAGGUUGGCCUGCUCUACUGUGAAGAGAUCGGGCGAGUUGUGUUCAAAAUCGAGGGCGGAUGGUGUGGCUUAUAGAAGGAAGGUGAAGGAGAGGCGCGUGUUUCCUGUUAGAAGGAAGAAGACGAGCCGACUAUCUCAUAUAGAGGAGGCAUCGAUGUCAGGAGCUCGUGCAUGAGGGAGUCAAACAUAGAGGAAGGAGAGAGCUGCGCGUCUACGAAUUAGGGCUCGAUCGGGUUUAUAAAAGGUAGUUCCUUCUCCACAUUCAAUUGGGGCCAGCAGCCCUAUUUAUUGCAGAGCUUGAACACAUCAGAUGCUACC